CCGUGCCCGCAGGCCGCCCGCCUGGCCGGCCCCCAGGGCCUCUGGGCAGCCGCGCAAGGGGAGCGGGGAGGCGGCUCCGGGCCCCCUGACAGGGUCAGCCUGCCCCUCGGCCGGGCGGGCGGCCCUCGGCGCCCCCGCUGCGAAGCGGGCGAAGGAGCGGGGCGGGAAGGGGCCCGCGGGCGCGCAGGGAAGGGCGGCGGGUGUUCGCCCUCCCGGCUCCCGGGCGCGAAAACCCCAGGAACUUUGUCAAGUGCGGGUUGUUGGUGUGAUUUCGCGUAACACCACCAUAAAGUCCUGCUGUACAGCGAGGUGUUUUCACACGGCCGCGUGACAGGGAAAAAUGUGAACAAGAGGAAGAAGAGGUGUCUGAGCCAGCAGUCUGAGGGCCAAAGGAGUUCGGAGACUGUUAAGCAGACAUCGCAGCAAUUCCUGCUCAGAGACUCAAGCAAGAAUGUGCAGAGUGGGGCUGACCAGUGGCAGAGACCCUUGGUAGGACAAUAUUCAUCAGGGUCCCAUGUCCCUGCAUCAGCAGUGCUCAGGUAACUAAAGAACAGGCAGCAAGACACCCACCCAACCUGGAGGGGAAGAGAACUACCCUUCAGAAACAUCCAAAACCAGGAAAGAUGCUGAAAAACUCUGAUUCUCCUGCACUAUUUAUACUGGCUGGCAGAAUGAGUCACAUUAUGCUACUUUUUAAUAGCUUUCUCACCUUCCUGAAAUGAAUUACAUGCUUGCAGAGCAGUGAUGGUAAACUAGGAUUCAUAGCUAUCAUUAUUAGCUUUGCAACAUCCUUAACAUCAGCGUAGCUAUUUGUAUUCAGUACCCAUGAAUCAGCUGUAAUAUAUUGUGAUAAAUAAUCUGUCCAGAGGGACAUCAGCAUUGCAUCUGAAGAACAGCCCAGACUAAUCCUGUGAAAUCUGCUUUGAUGCAGUCUGCGAAGUUAGGUCUUGUUAUAUUUCUCUGAAUCGGGGAGGUGGCUAUUAUCAGUUGAUUCCUCCUGAUAAAGAAAUUAUUGAGCAGCUUUUUCAGAAGUACAUAAAUGCCUUGGUAUUUGUGAUUUAAAGCUGAUGUUUUUCAGCAACAGUGUGUGACCCCACUCUCUCUAUUAGCUACAUAUACACCAUUACAUUAAAGCCUCACCUAAAGCAAAAGGAACAUACUUGGCCAUGAUGGAGGGUAUUCUUUUGAACACUAUAUUCCAAGAUCUCUCUGUGGUUUUGAAGGUUUCAGCUGAAUCAAUUUUCUGUCACCAGGUUAUGCAAUAGAUUCUGUUUCCAUUACAAAUGAUGUGACAUUAAAAAAAACAUGGGAAGAUGUGAGGGCUUAUGGCAGCACCAAGCUGAAUCUGUAAGGCAACAGCCUGAAACAAUCGCAGGUUACAGAAAAUAGUCCCAGAAGGGACUGCGGGAGGUCAUCUACACAGUCUGCAUGCUGAGGCUCAAUUAAUGCUGUCUGAACUAUUUUGAGAAAUGUUUAUUUAACCUUCUCUUACAAAGUUCCCACAGCAGCGGGGAAAGAUGUGGAUUAAAGCCUUUCACCUACCAGUGAAAGCCAGAAGUGGUAAAGGCCAGAAGUCCUGACCUCAUUGGUGCUGGCCAGACAGCAGAUGUCUGUAGCUUUUCUCUGCUGUUGCAUGGACCUUCAAAUUUUUAUAGAAGGGAGCCACAUUUAAGGUGCAUAAGAAGUCCUUACCUUUAAUUUACUAAAAUUUCUGCUUUGCAAUGGCAGAGCAGUUGUGUUUCUAUAGCACAAAGCUUUGGGAGUACCCUAAAUGCCUCCGUAUGGCAACUUAAAGUAAAUAAGAUUAACAUCCCUGUAGGGAACAGGCAAUGUUCUGAUGGUAACUAGUUUAGUAGUUAAGGUAGUGUGUGCUAGUGGGUAACUCUCCUGACUCUCUCUUCAUGGCUCAGGGGUCUGUUGCUGACUCUGCUAGUGAUCUUCAGGCCUUUUCUCCCUAAGUCCCCUUGUUCCACUCUCCUUCCAUUUUCUAUGUGGAUACUGAGAGUUUAUUCCCUGUAGAACAUUUAGACAGCAGAAGACAGUGAUGCAGAGGGCCCUGAAUGACCUGGGUGACCCACCUAACUUAAAGGCUGGAAGCUGCACAGUCCAAUAGAUCAGCCAUGUAAAAGCACAGACCCCCGCAGACCCAGAGGCAAUAGGUGUCUCCUUUCAGUAGGACUAAUUUAACUUGAGCCCACCAAAGCAUUGUUAGGGCUGUAAAGUGCCCAGGUCCUUGUAUUUCCUGCAACACUGCCAUGCAGAUGUUCUGGCUUAGGAUGGCACCAGCUCAGGGGUCUGAAAGACUCUUUGGCUUACACGCAGAGCUGCCAGGCUAUGAGUGUUGUAGCUGGGAAAGGAAAAUCCUCUUUGCUCCAACUGGAAAAUCAUCUUUAACCCAGUGCCACACACCAGUGUUCCCUGUAUAAGCAUUCCUACUAUUUCAUGCUAAGGCCUUGUACCUUGCCUGAAUAAUAUAUGCUGCCAGUUUAUUAAGAAAUAAGAUCACAUUGUUAAUAAAACUUUUUUCAACCAAACCUCUGGAGUUCACCUACCAAUGAAGAAAGAGCUACAAAAAAGAAAGCUUACAGCCUGUCAAAUAAAAAUUCCACAAAACAGCUUUUAUAUUUAAGGUACAUUUAUGUUUAUUGCUGUAGUAGUACAAAUAACGAUGAUGUGACUUAAUGGGUUGUUAGCACAAUAACGUACUGUGCUUUAAAAGUGACACAAAUUUCUGUCCUCCAUUUGAAUGUCAUCAAUGACUGUGAAUGCAAUGGGAUGUGUUCUUCCAUUAUCUAGCUCUUUGCUUAUUGUCUGAUGAUGAAUUUAGGGUUUUAUGGAUUUCAGAUAUAUUCGUCUGAGUUUAACAGCUUUAAAUGUUGACUUCCUUUUGCCAGCACCUGAUAUAUCAAUACAAUUGGUUGAUACAGGCAUCUCAUACAGUUGAAAAUGACAUUUGGCAGUUUGUGUCAAACAAAUACAUGUGUUCAGUACUCCUUAAAUGCAGAUUUACUCUGUAGAAAUAGUAGCUAAGGGUGUUUAUUAUGAAUCCUAAAAAAAUUGUGUUCAUUUAUUUUAAAAUAAAAUAAAUGCUUAUA